UACGUAGGGUGCAAGCGUUAAUCGGAAUUACUGGGCGUAAAGCGUGCGCAGGCGGUGAUGUAAGACAGUUGUGAAAUCCCCGGGCUCAACCUGGGAACUGCAUCUGUGACUGCAUCGCUGGAGUACGGCAGAGGGGGAUGGAAUUCCGCGUGUAGCAGUGAAAUGCGUAGAUAUGCGGAGGAACACCGAUGGCGAAGGCAAUCCCCUGGGCCUGUACUGACGCUCAUGCACGAAAGAGUGGGGAGCAAACAGG
rnacentral:rRNA from 1 species